CUUGAUUCCACUCUCUCAUUCAAAAAAUCAGAUCGCUCAUCUCUGCUUCUCCAAACCUAUGCUUUGACUACAACUUCUAGAUUUUUCCUUUUGUGUUCACUUCUCUCACUCAAAUCUCUGCUUCCGUCGCACUCUAUUUUCUUCUUUUGCUUCUCCUGUGAAAAUCUCAGCAUUAAAUUAGUUUUCAUGUGUCCUUAAAACGUUAAUCUUUAUCCUCUCUCUCUCAAAAUCCAUCUGAAAAAAUGUAUAAUGGGUAUUGUUUCUCUCUGCAGGUUACUUGGAGAAGUCUGUGAAGGGUCAAUAGGAAAAGGUGGAUUGCGUUUCAAAAUACAAAAAAUACAGGGCCUGCCUCUCUAUGCGUUUCCAGUCUUCCAAAAAUCUUGUUCGUGGAGGCGAUUUGAGACGGAUUUGAAGCUCGGCUUCAGAGAUUUGAUUCAAAUUGGUGGAUUUGGGUAAGAAACUAAGAAACCCUAAUAUUUUCUUUUGGUUUUAAGAGAACUAUCAUAAAAUCCCUCCGAAGUGUUUGUGAUUCCAAAUCUAAUCAACUUUUCCUAAACUCAUCCCUUUCCCAUGUAGCAAAUCACAGCUCUAAAAUAUUCCAAUUAAUUAAUUAAUUGAUUAUGAUAGGCUUUUUUUAGAGUACUACUUCCAUAUAUCUUUUGUUGCAAUGGAUUUGAAGUUUCCUGGGCUUGAUUCUUGGAGUAUUCCCUAUUGUUCACUGCUAAACAUCUGCCUUUCGUUUGCUAUCUCGCAUGGUGUUUACGACUUACUGCAAAACUGAGUUCUCUGGCUGGAUUUUGUUGUUUAAGAGGUUUGAUUUUCUCUGAGGUUUGUCGUUGAGCAAAGAAGAAUUCAGCAUAUUUUUGCAGGUGCUUCCAAGGGACCUGCUCUAUGCUCUUGCUUCGUGGUUGCCUCUGUUGGGUUUGGAAAAGCUACAGACAGCAUUGAAUUGGAAGAAUGAUGAAAGUGCUUACAUAUUGUUGCAUGAGUUGGAAUUUCAAUAUUGCAUGGAGGAAGUUCCUUGGGAAAAAAUUGAGCGUAUAUAUUGAAGCUGUUUCAGAGGGAGAAUGGACCUCUCUCAGUGGGAUUAAACUGUUGAGGAGGUAGAUUUCAUGUCCCAGUUGCUUGGAAACUUUGUAAACCAGACAUCAAUCAUCAGAAUAGAUCCAGAUUUGGCCUGGAGGCAACUAUGAAGGUUCACGUUAUUGUUUGUUAAUUUGAUUAUGCUAAAUACUAAUUUUAUUGUAAUUGUUUGCUUUGUAUUUUUGGUUUCUGGAAUUCUGAUGUUUGGUGGUUAUUUCGUGUUUCGGUUAAAGCAUUUGGUGAUGACUGGUUUGUUACUUUGAUCACUGGUAGAUUUGAGCGCCCUCCCCUCACUCUCUCGAUCAUAUAUUGGUCCUUCUUUCAAGGCUCGGAUUGUAAUCCUUGAGAAACCCACUGUCGUAAAUCUGCCUUAAGAGCUGCAAUUUUCCUAGAGUCAUAUAUAUAUCGAUCAAUUACUCAACUUUGAUGAUAGAAGUCAUAACGUUUGUUCUGCUUGCUUCCAGUUUCUGGAAUUCAAGACAAGUAUCCAGACAAUUUUGACCUUGAUAUAUUAACAAUGGUCGUGAAGAGAAAGAAGAAGAUGAUUAUAGGCUCUACCAUAAGAGGGAGAUCAAUGAAUUUUGUUACCCUUAAAAACGGUUGAAUUUCAUUUAUUGUGUUCUGGAAAAUGAGUAAUCAAUCGCUACGCAAAGGUAAGCUAUUUAAGUUUGGGUCCAUAUUCGGAUUAUUUGAUUCAUUCCUGUGUUGCAUGUUUAAGAUUCGUCUUGGUGAAGCUGAUUAAGAAUGUACAAAUUGAAAUUGUUAUGGGUGGUCUCAAAUUUGGGUAAGAACCGUGAAUCUCUAACACUCUUCCUUAUCUCUAAUACUCUUCCUUUUUUCAUUUUCUGUUAAUUGAGCUCCCAAUUGAUCAUUUUUUGUGAUUUUUGUUAUCUGGGUUUUGAAGCAUGUUUAUUCUGUUUUUGCUGUUUUGGGUUGUAUGACUCAGCUCUCUGUAUUUAUAGAGCAUGUGUUUAUUCGUUUGAGCUAAACAUUUUGAGAUUUAGUUGUUCAAUGUUUUGAACAACUCUUUAUAGGUAUAUAGAGUUGUCAACAACUACUAUAUAUUUAUGUAAAUACUUGGUACAUGUUUAUGUAAAUAAUUUAUUUAUAUCUAA